rnacentral:lncRNA from 1 species
ACACUAGGGGUUUCUUGGGGAUACGCAGAUGACAAAGACAGUGUCUCUUCAUCCAGGAGCUAAUCAAGAGAAGGGGGAAGAAUCAAGCAAACUUCAUAAUACACAGCCGGAUGAAAUGAAAAGAGACUUAGAUCAAGUGCUGUGAGAGCUUGGAAGAGGCACGGGGCAAAUAACACUGGGGCUGGUGGUGGGAAGGCAAGUGACAGCCUCGUGGAAGAGGUGGCAUUUGACCAGAGAUGAGGACGAACAGAAUUAACAUAGUAGGCAUGAAGGAAGAAAAUGCGCCUGAGGACACAGCCAGCACAAAUGCAGAGGCAUACAAGUGCCUGGUACAGCUGGCAUGCAGGGAUGGCUGAGGAACUGCGGGGGCAGCCGGUGGGAUCCAUCCGAGGCAGGGGCACAGAUAGAAAGCUGCUGAGAGACUACACUCUGAGGUCAGCCUUGACCCUGAGGCUCAUCUGGCUCUCCCUGUUCCUCUACAGCCAGGUAAAGGUUAGAGGCAAGUCUCGGAGAUGGAAACCCAAGGUCAUGCAGUUGUGCCAAUGCCCGUUGUUAGACAACAUGCUUCUAUUCCUGACAAACCAGUCUCAAGCAGCUCUGACUGAUGGGGCGGAUUUCAAUGCUCUCCAAUGACUUCCAAGUGUUAAGAAAAAGCUGCUGCUACCCUACAUGCCCAAGCUAUACGAACUACUUUUUUCCAGGCAAACAGGAUUCCUGCAGACAAUGCUCGGAUGAUGAAAUCUGAGAGGCUGGAUGACAGAGAAACCCACAUGCAUACACACACACUUUAUAAAGCUUAGGAACAAAAGCACUUUAUAAUCUCCUUCUGAUGCCAAGUUUACAGUGCUUCCAGAGUCAACAAAGGUGACUCAGGAGAGUGCACCCAGCUCCUUUCAGCACUUAUUUAGCUCAGCCACCUGUGUGAGCUCAAAGACAAGGGUGCCGACUUCACCUGAGUAGACCCUGAGUCACGUGAUUUCUUGCUGGAGAUGAUUCAGCAAAGGAGCACUAACCUCUGAGACAAGGCUUCAGCUUCCUGAGCUCUGCUGACUCGCCUGGGACUUCCCUAAGCCCUUCUGGACCUAGAUGAGGGCAAAACUCAGUGGAACCUCAGAAGCCCUAAAAAAAUGAUAGACUUUCUUUUGUCUCAUCAUUAUCAGCAUUUUGGGAUGAUUUAGUCAGCCUAAGAAACCUGAUGGCAUGUUGACACCAGAAAACAGGUAGUAUAUAUUCCCAAACCAAGUUAAAAAAAAUUAAGAAAUAACAGCUGGAAUGCCUUUUAUUUUUUCUUUACACAAAUGUGUGUGUCAUCGUCAUAUGCCUUUUUUGUGUUAAUUUCUGAGGAUCCUGCCAGUGUGAAUACUCCAUUCUCUGCGAGUCGCAGGUCAGGCUGCUUUUGAGGCAAGCACACGUUAAGUAUUGAGCAGAAACAUUUGAAGCAAAGAUGAGAAAGACAGAAGGGGAAGCAAGAAAAAUAGUCUUCCCAGUGUGCCUAUUUGGGUGCAUAUAAAGUUACUUUUAGAUGUGCGAUUACUGGUUAAUGAUUUGGGGAAUUCUUUUCAAGUAGAAAUCCUGGGCUAAAAACUAAGUGUGCUCAAGCUACCCCCGCACCCACUGAUUCUGCACUCCAUGGGAAAAGUUCUCACAAGCAAGUCCUUUGUCCACUACCCACGUCUAUAGGAAAUGUUUGAACAGCUAUACACAAAGAACUCACAAGUCCACAACCUCGGGGGUGUUGCGGGUGGAGAGGGCAGUGGUAAAGGUGAUGACAGGGAGGGCCUGUGGGGACAGUAAUAUUAGAUUAGUGGUCAGAAGAUGCUGGAGCCUGCCUUGCCAGUCACACACUUUUAGAGGAAUGCUGGACAGUACACACCCUCCCCAACCCUGAAUGUAGGCCCUCGCUGACAUCACGCCAGAUGAAGCCCUGAGGUCUUUAACAUCUGUAACUCUAUGGCAUGUAACAUAAACAGGUGUCUGACCAGUUUCCCCAGAUAUAGAAUAAUAAUAAUACCUUUCAUUUAAAAAGGUAAGAGGGAAUUCAACAAGCUUUCCUUCUUAAAUAAAUCUCCAUCUCAGGAAGCCAUGGAAAGAUGCCCCUCCCACACUAAGACUGUAGAGAGAGGCACUGUGAAGGUCUGGCUUGGAGAUCUCAGCUCUUCCUGCCUCUCAGGGGGAAAGGGCAGAUCCAGCAGGCCGGGAAAGGAUCUCCCAGGGUCCCAAGGAGGCAGCAUGGGGCAAAGUCCAACAGUGAGGAUUCUCUCCUUCUCUGGUCUCUUUUCUGUUAAAAAUGCUUCUUUGGGGUACCCUUCAUUACUACCCUGGAGGUUGAAGGACACUUCUUGAGAAGGCAUAGAUACUCUUCAGGUAUGCUGAAGAAAUGAGUUGUGCUAAAACCACUGGUUAAUUUUGUCUGUGGCAAAAAAUCAUGAGGGUGACAUAGACUCCCAGGCCAGGAACCCGAGACUGGAUUUAAGAGAUGUGGCCAGGAUCCACAGGGGAGCUUGUAUGUGGCUCACAUCAUUAGCUCUUUCUGUAUAUUUGUAUUGUAAACCAUUUCCCUUCAUUUGUGAAGAUGGAGAUCACUUUUUCUAUACAGGCUAGAAAUGUUUCUUCAUACACACACGCUGAGCUUGUUUAUAAAAGAUAUUCAUUUAUAUGGUGGUUUUAACAACUUUUCCAUGUGGAAAUUUUAGACGACAGUAACACAGACCCUCAUGUACUCAUCACUCAGCCUUGAUGGUUACUGACACAUGCCCAAUAUUGUUUCAUCUGUUUCUCCCCACAACUCCUGGAUUAAUUUGAAAGAAAUCCUAGAAGUCACUUAAUCAGCAAAUACUCCAGUCUGUUGGUCCACUCCUUAUACAAUAGCCAGGGUGAUCUUUUACACAUGAAGUAGUGAUUGCAUCACUCAUGCUUGCUUGGAAUUCUUCAAAGACUUACGUUGGCACUUCAGAUAAAGUGUAGACUCCUUCGCGUGACCUAGGAUGUCCUUUGGGCUCUCACUGUUCCCUCAGCCUCCUCACCUGAAGCUCUCACUGCCCCACCCCUUUGCUCAUCACACUCCAACCCGCCUGCCAUUGAGCUACUCAAAUGGACUGCUCCUUUCUCAAGACCUCUGCACACUUUCAAGCCUCAUUUCUCUUCAGCCUUUAUUAAAUGUCAUCUCCUCCAGAUGGCCUCCUUUGGUGGCCCAGGUCAUGUUAGAUCUGCCUGUUAAAUAAAUGCUUUCAAAGAA